rnacentral:tRNA from 1 species
UGGCUGAGGUUCAGUGGCAGAUUAUCUGCUUUCUAAGCAGAAAACGCCAGGUUCGAAUCCUUGGAUCCCAA